AUUGAACGCUGGCUGCAGGCUUAACACAUGCAAGUCGAGCGGGGUGAUGGUGCUUGCACUAUCACUUAGCGGCGGACGGGUGAGUAAUGCUUAGGAAUCUGCAUUUUCGUGGGGGACAACAUCCCGAAAGGGAUGCUAAUAACGCAUACGUCUCCGGGGAGAAAGCAGGGGAUCCCUGGUGACCUUGCGCUAUUAGAGAACCUUAAGUCGGAUUACCUAGUUGGUGGCGUAAAGGCCUACCAAGGCGACGAUCUGUAGCGGGUCUGAGAGGAUGAUCCGCCACACUGGGACUGAGACACGGCCCUGACUCCGACGGGAGGCAGCAGUGUGGAAUAUUGGACAAUGGGGGGAACCCUGAUCCAGCCAUGCCGCGUGUGUGAAGAAGGCCUUAUGGUUGUAAAUCACUUUAAGCUAGGAGGAGGCUCUUUUGGUUAAUACCCAAGAUGAGUGGACGUUACUCGCAGAAUAAGCACCGGCUAACUCUGUGCCAGCAGCCGCAGUAACAC
rnacentral:rRNA from 1 species